rnacentral:rRNA from 1 species
UACGGAGGGGGCUAGCGUUGCUCGGAAUGACUGGGCGUAAAGGGCGCGUAGGCGGUUUGUACAGUCAGAUGUGAAAUUCCUGGGCUUAACCUGGGGGCUGCAUUGGAUACGUUCAGGCUUGAGUGUGGAAGAGGGUCGUGGAAUUCCCAGUGUAGAGGUGAAAUGCGUAGAUAUUGGGAAGAACACCGGUGGCGAAGGCGGCGACCUGGUCCAUUACUGACGCUGAGGCGCGAAAGCGUGGGGAGCAAACAGG